rnacentral:lncRNA from 1 species
GUAAGGAUGCAGUGUUUCUUGUAAGGAACUCCUUUUGAAGAGAUCAUGCUAAAAAGGCUGCUAAAGGGAUCACUUGCUGCUGUAAUUUGUAGAAAGGAGCUCUCUUAAUUACAGUCGGAGUUUAUUGCAUCUCUCCUUCUCUCUCUCCCCCCAUGUGCGUGCAUGCAGAGAGCUCGAGAAAGCUGGCAGCGCUACCUGAAUAGCUAUUGAAAGAGUGUGCGACUUCUCAGUGCCUGCUUCAUUACUGGGUGCAGCUCUUCCCAGGCGUGAGAGAGCCUAACUGCAUUCUCCUAUCGCAAAGCCCUCGACAGAAAAUCCUCUUGCAACAGGGGCAGCUGGAUUUCCUAACAGUGAAAAUCGGGAGUUCAUCAGUGCCUCAUCAGAUUCACAGACCAACACUUUGCAGGCAACAAGCAACACUGGACAUGUCUGAGCUACACUAAUAUCCACAACCUGAAGAUUUCCUUUCAGGCUUCAGCUACAGACGUGUUGAAGGAUAGCUAUUCAGAAUUAGAAGGACCUCUCUAGUUGACAUGGAGCAUGCAAACGUCUCCAGUCUGUGCUGGGACAGUAACUGCUGUAAGGAAGAACUUCUCCUGAGAAACCACAACAAAGGUGUUUGGCUACAAGUGCACUCUCCUGGCUCAUGUUAAGUUCUACAUCUACCAGAACCUCUAAGACCUUCUCCUCACAACUGCUCUCAAGGAGUUCUCCCAGUCUAUACAUAUAUCUGGAAUUGCCCCAACCCAGGUGAAACACCUUAUACUUGGCUGUGUUGAACCUCAUUAUGUUCCUGUGGGCCUCCUUUUCAAGUCUGUCCAGGUCUCUCUGAACGGUGUCCCUUCCUUCUGUUGUGUCAAGUGCACCACUCAGCAUGGUGUCAUCAACAAACUUGAUGAGGGAACACUCAAUCCCACUAUCCAGGUCAUUAAUAAAGAUGUCAAAGAGCUUCAGCCCCAAGACAGACCUUGGGGGACAUCAUUUGUCACUGGCCAUUGCCUGGACAUAGAGCUGUUGACUACAACACUCUGGCGUCUGUUGAACUAAUUCUUUAUUCACUGAACAGUCCAUCCUUCAAAUCCAUAUAUCUUUAAUUUAGACAUAAGAAUGUGGUGUGGGACCAAAGGCCUUGCACAGGUCCAGGAUCUGCCUUGAUGUGCCGUAUUUCCUCCCUUUGCUCCCUGAUAGAAGUUCCUUUGGCAUUUCUUCAGGAUAUCAGGGACCGACUACCUUAGUUAAUCCACGUAUGAGUGGCCAUGAGAUAAAACCUUUUAGAUUUGUUAGUCCCAUGCUAGCGAACUCCUUUACCCAGAGCUCUGUGAAACACACAAGC